rnacentral:rRNA from 1 species
AUUGAACGCUGGCGGCAUGCCUUACACAUGCAAGUCGAACGGUAACAGGUCUUCGGAUGCUGACGAGUGGCGAACGGGUGAGUAAUACAUCGGAACGUGCCUAGUAGUGGGGGAUAACUACUCGAAAGAGUGGCUAAUACCGCACGAGAUCUACGGAUGAAAGCAGGGGAUCGCAAGACCUUGUGCUACUAGAGCGGCCGAUGGCAGAUUAGGUAGUUGGUGGGAUAAAAGCUUACCAAGCCGACGAUCUGUAGCUGGUCUGAGAGGACGAUCAGCCACACUGGGACUGAGACACGGCCCAGACUCCUACGGGAGGCAGCAGUGGGGAAUUUUGGACAAUGGGCGCAAGCCUGAUCCAGCAAUGCCGCGUGCAGGAUGAAGGCCUUCGGGUUGUAAACUGCUUUUGUACGGAACGAAAAGCCCUGGGUUAAUACCCUGGGGUCAUGACGGUACCGUAAGAAUAAGCACCGGCUAACUACGUGCCAGCCGCCGCUGUAAAAC